AGCGAAUACAUCUCGUGUCAGGCUAUUUCACACAUAACUGUGCUUUUUUCUUAGAGGUUUGGCGAAUUGCGGGCGAGCAGCAGUACAGUAACUACGUCCUCAUUGGCCCCGUCAAGUGCGGGAAAACAGCCUUCACCGACCACAGCCAAUAAUUACAAGAAAAAUCUACAGUGUUUUGUAAAAUACCUUGACAUGAAAUGUAUUCGCGAAAUACAGGUGUCCCUAGAUAUAAGACGUAAUUGCUCUCGGACGAUAAUUUUCUGUACUGGUAUUAUCACCUUUCUUAUGCAGGAGAAUAGUUUUUGUAGUCUUGUGAUACCCAUUCUGAAAGAAUUCCAAUAAUGGAAUAUGUGUUUAUUAUAAUUAAUGGAGAAGUAAAUAUACUAUUAGCAAAUGGAUCAUUAAAAAUGUGAAAAGAAAUUAUAAAAAAUUACAAAUUAGUCUACUGCACAUAAAUCACAGAUUUUAAAAAGCCAAAUUUACUAUAACAUUCAAAAUAUUACACAGCGUGCAAUGUAGAAAACACGGACGCAUGUUGUCUAAAUGAAAUAAAUAAAAUACAAGUCUGCGGCUUUAAAAACCAAAGAAAUAAAAUGUUUCAUAAAUAUUCAACGCUUGUAAGGGUACAACUAUUACACUGAUAGGACAUAGUUUUUCUAGUACAUCAUACUGAUUCCUAACCAGACACACAUAUAUAAAUAAAUUGUGUUACACUUCAAUUAAUUUGGCCAUGAAUUAAACCUGAUAAAUAAACAAUGCAAACAAGCGAAACUCUACAGAGUAUCGUAAAAUAAAACCUGGGCCAAAAGGAAAUGGAAGAUUUUUUGUAGUAUUAUAAAUGAUCAUACAAGGAUUGAUGAUUUGGUUUUGUAUUAAUUUUGAGCGUAAAACUACCCCGAAAAUAUUGAAUAAAUUUUUCAGUUAAGCUGCAUAUAAACUGAACUGGUUUGCUAGCUGUCUUGCCAUCGUAAACAUGACUAUGAGUCUGAUUGGCCAUGUUGGUGAUAGGCACGAUUUUCAAGGCUGUCUCCCGAUAUAAUAUAUGUGUUUUAUUUUUAUACAAAAUGAAGCACAAAUAUGUUUUAUAUUUCUUGUGUGAGAUACCAGUUGCAAAGACUUUGCAGUUUGAUUUUAUGGGUAGUGAAUCAGUGGUAUAAAAUAACUUCAUUUAUUUUUUCCCGAUAACAUCUUUUUGACAUUAGUAUAAUUUAAUUACUCGCCAGACAGAGAACCUUAUUUUUUGUAGUCACGAAAAAAAUUGUUUGUAUUCAAUAUCAGCUAAUAACUUACUAUUGCUUAUGUCAUCAAAUACAUUUACAGUACUGUUCAAUUUGUACAAGCAUGAGAAGUAAACAACAAUUUCUGCAAAAACGUUCUUCCGAAAGAAGGUAUACACCGAUUUAUAGGUGUGUGCCUAUUUCUUAAUUUUAUUUUUUUAGUAAUUAGAAAAUAAAAAUCGGUACUUUUCCGAAUUUCCUCAUUGAGGCUGCGACCCAAAUUUUCAGUUUCCAGCCCUUUUGUCAGUGGGUUGGAAUUUGUAUAGGCCACUGUGUGAGCGAGUGAAUUACUUUUUGCAUAUUCGAGCAAUUCAAAAUUUAGACAAUAAAGUUUAAUUAUAACAAUUUCACGUAAGCUAGAAAACUCAAAGGCUGGUAAAACAAUAGAAUUUUAUUUCAUAUAAUUCUAGAUCAAUUUUAUCUAAGUAUAACACACCCAUUUAAACACAUUUUAUAUACAUAAUAAUUUUACUUCAGCAAGGUCUUUGGUUUCUUGUAACACAAAUAAAAUUACCUAAAAAAAAUUACUGGACAUACUUAAAAAUGUUUUUAGAUUGUAAUAUUUGCCAAAUAAUUUAAAUAAAUCUAACUGCAAAUGUAAGAACACAAUAUUUAAAAUUGUAUUUUGGAAAAUUAUCUAAAUUUUUAUUUGGCCAUUAUUGUUCAAAAGUAUUUACAUGUAUACAUAUGCGUGCGUGUGUGCGCGCACUCGGAACUUAUGUUUCUUUGAUCAUUUAUAGUUGCAAAUAAUGUAGCGGAAGUUAAAUUGAAAAAUAUAUAAUUAUUUCUGGCCAAUAUUUGUUUACAAACAUAAUUUUACAUGACCCCAGAAGAAAAAAAAAAGAUCGCCACUGCCUUGUAAUUGUGUUUCUAACGAACUUGUGUAACUAACGAAAAUGUUUAACUGCUCAAGGUUAGUGAUACAAUAAAUGCUUGGGUAGUGAAAAAACUAUUGUUAAAAACCAAAGGUAAUUUUAAACGACUUUCAGCUAACCAUUGUUCAACGACAGCAUUGAGAGAAUGGCCCUUAUUUUUGUAUCGUUAUAUACAUAACUAAAUCAUUACGGGAGGAAGUUGCCAUAGGCGGCUGGUCCUUCAGUUACUAUUUUUUUUUAAACAUCUCUAUAAAGUUGCAAUACUAAUAGGGAUGUGCGAAAGUGACUUUAUCCACACGAAAUGAAAGUGAAAGAAAAUUUAUCAAGUUUCGCGAAAGUGAAACGAAAAUGAAUUUUUCUAUGAGAUAAAUAUAUUCUUAACGAAAGUUAAGCGAAAUUUUUUAAUUAAUAAAGAAAAAAAGUGCCCCAAAAUUUGCUCUUCAGUAAUAAAUUCUAUUACAUAAAUCAUUUUGGUACCUUUUGAUGUAUAUAUAAAUAUUACUAUUUAAUAAAAUCAACAUCCGCCCUAGACCACACAACACAGCCCCAUGUCACUCGUAAAUUUCAAGAAUCAAUCCAGAUCUUUCAGCGCACAGACUAUUUCCUUUACAGUCGUAAUGUCGCAGUCUAUGAUAAUAUAUUUAUCACGUGCAUGGUACUGAUGAAAAAAUACGUGAAUACUGCGGAACGGCCGCCAUCUUGCACCACUGUCACACAUGGCUAGCUCAGGAAGCUGUAAACUAGGCAAUGGACAUGGUCAAAACAAAACAUAACAAAUGGUUGCUGCCAAGUGGUCAUUACAUGCAGUGACUUGUUGACCUUUUUGUCUAAUUGGCUGUAUAUUAUGAGGAUUUUAUAUGCCAGUCAGAGUAUGUAAAAUUUAAAUAAAGCAGAUGACAAUGUUUUUGUUUGGCUGUGCGCGAAUAAAAGUAGGUACGUUCUUUGUUUAUGUGUAUACGGUAAAUACUAAAUAGUGUACUAACAGUUCUGGAAUGUAUGUUUUACGAAUAUAGUACCUACACUACUGUUUGAAAGCAAAUGAAUCAGGUAAUUUUUCAAAUAUUGCAUGAUUUUGUUUUGAUACCUAGGCCUACUGUAAUCACGGUUGAAUUUUGUUUACUUUAUCUGCCAUGUUUGUUCAAAUUAUGAUUUUACCGUAUUUUCAUUAACGUGAGUUUUUUUCAUCACCACGUAAAUUAAUCUUAAUGGAAAUCUUUUUUCUAAUUAAUGUCUUUAUAUGAUUUGCAUAUGUUAUUACAUUAUUAGUAAUAACAAGCAAAUCAUAUAAAGACAUUACAGUAGAAUCUCAGUGCUAAGUACUUACAGGUACCUCAAGUUUUUGUACUUAGCACUGAAACAUGCAUACAUAUCUUUACAAAGAGAAAAAAAUAUAUAAAAAAAUAGCUACAGGAGAGCCGCAAUGCCAUAUGUAUUCGCAACUGCGACUUGCUUUUUUCCCCGUGUCUAGUUCUCUGAGUAUAUCCACUUUUUCCUUAAGCGUGAAUUGCUUUCGUUUCUUUUUAUCUCCAGGAUCAUUCAUAUUGUAGCACAAAUACAAUGCGGUGUUUAAAUAACGUAACCUGAAAAUAAACUCAACAAUAACAAUAAACAAUCCCGGCACAGACAUCAAACAGUAUUUUUAGCGUAGCGUAACACUUUUGUCUAAAUAAUUAAUACUUCUCUCAAACCUCCGUCUUUCGAUGUAUCGAAUGGUGUUGUGUUGCUCACGUCGCAUACUACGUACGGUAUAAUCUAUGGUUGUGCCUGUUUGUUAACUUUGUUUUGAGAAUCUAGAGGUUAGAAAAUACGUUGCGUUGGUAUUUGUGUAUCUUUGUUCUACUACAUUAAUCAUUUAGCUGAAAAUUUAUUUACCAGUUUAAGUAAAUUUUGGUGUAGUAAUGCCACGCUACUAGUAGAAUUUAUACGUUAUAGUGAAAAUGAUACUUUAAACUGAAACCGUUUUGCAUGGCGAAGAUACGAUUUUUGGCGGGGACUUAAAAAAAAUUCGUUAAGUGAAAUAUACUUUAUAAUAAGGAACGUUAUUGUACCGGUAUUAUACUGUACAUUUUUAUUAAAUUACGAUUUCUUUUUCAACUAGAACAAACGAACUUCGGUAAGCUAUUGAACUUUCGUUUGGCUCGAAAUAUUUCGCUAAAAACGAACUUCGACAGAUGAAAUUCUUACCGAUAUCGAAAAUGAAAGUAGCAAAAUUUCGAUUUCGGUAUCGGUAUACCGAACAUUCGCACAACCCUAAAUACUAACUAUAAAUAUUUUGAUCAUAUCUCAUUUAUGUAACAUUACACCCAGAGGUAUAGCCCAUUCUACCAGAGAUAAGUCGAGGAACAAAUAUAAUUAAAGAAACAUAAUUAAAUAAAUAUAACUGAAGAAAUAUAAUUAAAUAAAUUGAUAGAAAAUCAUUGUAAUUUUGCAAAUAAUUUUUUUUUACAAUAAUUGAAAUAUUCUAAUAAAAUCUUAAACAUUAUUUAUUUGUCUUGAAUGUACGAUUCUUGAAUAUAAGUAUAAAUAAUAAUUUAAUAAUUUAAAUUGAUUUUGGAAGUUAUAUUAUAAUAUGAAACCAUUUUCCUAUUAUUGUAAUACACCGUGAUUGCAGGAUUCAUUCAUGUGUUAAGGUAAAGAGUCAUAUCAAAAUACAUAAUGAAGUCACUAAGAUAAUAUGUGAAAUAAUGUUGUAAUAAAAUGUAAUGUGCGACGUUCACAUAGAUGCCAGUAAACGAAACAGGUUAGAUAUUAUAAUCAUAUUUAGCACUUUAGUAUUUCCAAAAUAAGUUUUUUUUAAGACGCCCAACUAUUAUAAUAAAUCUCUAUCUACUAAAACAAUUCAGUAAUUGUAGUUAGAUGAUUUUAAAUAAAAAAUAUUCUAUGAAUAAAUUUGUCACAAGUGAAGCAUAUUAAUAAUUUACAUCACUGCAAAGCUGACAAAUAUAUCUAUAGAAAUUGUCGACAACAUGAUACGGUUUUCAAUUCAUUGAUUACUAUUGCUGAUACUAGUGUUUUGUUUUGACCGUUUCGAAGCGAUAAUAUUCCCAUAUAAACUCCUGUGAUAUUAGAGCCAUCUAGUGAGUAAACUCAGAACUAAUCGGAGCUCUAGCGGCAAACUGUUGAAGUCGUUCCUUUCAUCAGCGGCAAGUGACAGUUAAAAGACAGUAUUUAAUACUCAGAUUAUUUAAAUUCUGUAGGUUGUAUUAAAAAAAAAUUAAUAUACAGGAUUGUUCAUUGUACCUCCUUUAAGUUGUGUGCAAAGUAACAGCCGUGUACCGUUUAAAUAUAUAACUAAUAUUUAGUUUUGAAAAUUUCAAAAUUAAAAUUAAAUAAGAAAGCAUUUUUGAAAAAAAUUGUAUCGUCAUAUUUACAAAAUUCAAAGUUUUAUUUACAAUUCUGCCAAGUAUGUAUAUUUUACCUACUACAAUAUUCAUGUGAGAAAUAAUUUUCUUGGAGGCUGCAAAACUAAGGAUCUUAGCCUUAAUUUCCUGGUAGUCCAAGUUUGGAUAAAGCAUGACUUAGGAAACUGAGGUUUCAGAGUUUCGCAAUCUUUAGACAACGCAAGUGAAAACAUAUUACAUGAAUAUUAAUACAAAAACUGCAAAAAUUAUGACAUCAUAUGAACUGUAACAAAGAUGAACUUAAUUGCUCUGGAUCACAUGGAAGUAUUAUUUCACAAUCUUUUGAAAAAUUAUAGUAAUAACUUUUUUUUUAAUAAUUGAAAUUAAAAUAAAUCAGUUGAAUAUUGACGCACAAAAUGUAAUUCUUAACUGAUACACAGUAAUACCUGAAACCUCAAUUUUGCCGCUUUACCACAUACAAAACUAUACUCUCAACACAUGACUUUAAUUACAAACAUAAGUUUUGAGACUGUCUCGCAUCACUUUUCGAAAACUAGGCUUAUUUAAACUGAUUUUGGGGCUGGUCAAUCAUAUAUAUACUAAAAAUAUUGUCACGGUCUGAAAAUUUCAUUACUUUUUUUUCUUAAAUUUUAUUGUAAUUUUGUUUCUCGUCAGGUUUACGUGUUGGUGUACGUGCACGUUUCCAGGCUCGGCCGGUUGAUUUCGACACGCGGGUAUGGGAAUAUAGGUUGCUGCGACAUUAGUUUACAGGCACCGCGGGCUUUUGCGAGGCUGCGUGGUUAGCUAAUUCUCGCAGGUAGCUGGCCAGGGCCUGCUGAGAGGUUGCAACACGCCGUUCCAGAAAAACCCGCUGCGCUACGCUAGUCUUUUGUUUGUCGUUCUGUGUAUGUUCUGCAACGCGAAGCCUUUGUGGACGCGUUUCGAGGACUCUGUCCUGAUUAGUGAUGCCAUCUUGCGUCCGAGUUUGGAAACGUAGACGGAAAAUUAACAAUCGAGCAGCGCAAGAGGGAGAGGGGGAAACUCGUUCGCGCCUGCGCAGAAGGAAUAGCUGACUUCAUUUGUUUUUCAUUUUUUUUUCCUUGUGGGAAGGGAGGGGACAGCGAGUUGCCUUGUGGAUAAGUUUUCCCGGUGUUCGUGUGUUUUUUUUUUUUGUUUUUCCGGCAUGGCCUAGUUUUGUAGUUAAAACCUCCUUCCAGGGAGGGGCCGAGGCUUUUUGCCUGGGGACCUCUCUGGGAGCCGGGUCCACGUCGGUUUGAAACAACUUUGCUUCGCCUCAAGUCAGAAGGGUAAGUGGUUGGCCAUGGCUCGUUCGCCACAAUCAUUUCUUGGACGAUCUUCGUCUUAAUCUUUUAAGUAAUAAUGUAGUAUUCCACCUCUAUUAUUUAUUAUUUGGUUUUGGGAAAAAUCGACGUCUGGUUAUAAGCAUGCAGGUAGUGGUAACUGGGAAGUAUACUAUCCUUCCGCGUAGCUGUGACGACGAGAGAACCGCCAUGUUGUAGAGAUAAUUGUUUGCCGGCUGACGUCACUUUAAUGUGUAUUUAAUGUAUUUAUUUAUUCGUUAAUCCCAUCCCAUUGUAAAAUGCUUUAUUAUUAAUUUGUUAAUCAAAUAUUUGGUUGAUUAUUAUUAUUUUUUUUUAUUAUCCUAGUGAAUAAAAUCUGUGCUUGAAUGAACUAAUCAUGUUUCUUUUCAGUACAUAAAUUAUACCCUACACUUCCUGUAUAGGGAGAAGACUUGAUCUCGAGUACCAUGCUUACCAACAGCUACUACCCCCCAAAUGUUAUAGGUUAUUUAUUGUUAUGUGUAUAGGUGUACGCGGGACGUCUGACGGAGCCCCGUCACAAGUGGUGUGAGGCGCCGAUUAAUAGUCUUUUGUAGGGUCGUUUGUGCUUUAUUUUUUUUUAUCUUCUCUUUUUCUUUUGAAUUUAAUCAUGUUUUAUUAUAGAGCAGUGCAAGCAGGGUCGUGUGGGAUCACGCGGCGGACGUGUUGCGUUGUGCUUCACGUAUUUUUAUUAGUAAUGUUACUGUUGUUCUGUUUAAAUUUAAUGGAUAAAAAGUUUUUGGUUUAGUUAAGUUAAGUCAGUGAGUCAGUCAGUCAGUCAUGAGUUUCUUUUUUUGAUCAGGUCACCUAUCAAGUUUUAUUAAGUUUUAAUUACGUAAAUUCUAAUGCCGGUUUAAUGAUUAAUUAAUUAAGUUUGAAAAUUAUCAUAAUUAAAUUUCGGUUAAGAAUCUAAGAGUUUGUGUGGAGUUUUUGGUUUAGGAACGAUGUUAAAACUUGUGUUAAGUAAUGUUAUAGACAGUGCUUGUUGCGGACGUGGAAAGUCAUGUGUCGUGGAGCGGUGACGAGCGGCGCGACGGUCAGCUGUGCGCUGACCUUGAGCGGUUUCCGGCCUGGCGCGACACGGCUCGGCACGGCGCGGCAAGAAUCGUUCCGGCCCGGUGUUUACCGGCCGGCUGGACGUCAGACAGAUAAGAGUUUCACAGUUAUUUUUUUUUUAUGAUUAAUUUUAUGUGCGUCAUUGACUACACCACACCGUCUAAGUUUUUUUUUUUUUUUUUUUUAUGAGUUAACUUAAUAAUUUUAAAGUAUUUAUUUAUUUGUCAUUAUAAUUAUUUUUGUUUUGAUAAUAAUUAAUUUUUUUUGAACUUUUCUUUUCGAAUUAUAGGAGGUACACAUUAGAAGGGAUUAGCUCUGAGAAUAGUGUGAGGUUUGUUUAUUUGUGUAGGUUAAGGGAAUGAACUCCAGGGGAACAGUCUUUGAGAUGAGAGAGUUGUUGUGAUUGUCCAGCCAUAGAAGAUGAGCUGGGACAAUUUGAGGUGUCCCUGGGAGAGUAGGGACGGUAGCGCAGACCCAUAGAAGAUGGGCUGGCUACUGGUUAAGGGUCGGGAGAACCCUGUGUUGUUAGUAGUUGGGGCAGGAGUUCCCCAUGGUAGUACCGGAAGUGGCUAUCCCGUACGGGAUAAGGGUACCACUUCAAUUAAUUUGGUUUGUGGGGUUAGAGUCCCCUGUUGUGUAGUGGGCCUAUAGGAGAUAGGCACUACAGCGAAAUUUUUGGUUGCCCUGGAGGUAAAUUCCCUGGGUUAAGUUAAGGAAUUGUUCUUAAAGUUAGGAAGUAGGGAAAUGUGAAUCAUUGUUGGAGAGUGAGUUAGUGUACCUGCCUACGUAUUAAAUUGAAUUUUAAUGAAUUAAUUUAUGAGCAAGUUUAUUGUGUUAAUGAUAAUGGAAGUGAGUUAAUUUUUUUUAAUUGGUUUUUGAGUAAAGUAUUUUAAGUAAUAAAGUUAAAUAAUAGAGUGAGUGGGGACAGUUAUGAUUGAGUAUUUUUGAAUUUAUUUUGUUUAUCACACUUGGAAUGUAAUGUUUUAAUUUUUUCUCUCAACAUAAUUAAAAUUGAAAUAAUUUUUUUUUAAUACAGUGCCCCUUAUACAUUUGUUGAUACAAGUAAUAAAGUAUUUUUAUUUAUUUACAAUUUUAUUUUAAUUACAUAAUAAUUUGAAUUUAGCUUUGUGAUACAGAUGAAACAUUUUUUUUUAAUGAGUUGUUUUGUUUGUGCUCGAUUCUUAUCGGUUUUGUGAAAGUAGUGUUACAGUACUCAGUUCAGCGGUGACCUGUGACUGACUUCAUGACUAAGAAGACUGAGCAUGGUGUUGCUGGCGGCACAUCAGAGUGAACCUGAUGGCACCACCAGUAGCUGUUGUUUCGAGGUGUUGCUGUUUUCACCAGACGAGACCAACCAGCUGCUUGCUGCCUACAGCAUAGCAGAUUUUCACUGGGGAGACAUCCCCGAUGACAUGCUGCGAGGAAGGCAGGCUGAGGGCAGAACUGCUCUGAAGGCUGGAUCCUGGGUGUGAGCUGCAGAUCACACUUCAAGGACUCUUCUCUCCAGCUUCAACUAGGGCUGAUCUGUCCACGGUUCAUGCCUCUCCUAGUUGUAUGUCGUACGAGUAGUUUUACGAUGUGCCAGCCACCAUCGAUUCUUACAGGAAAGAAUUGUUUCCUGGGCUAUUUUGUAUUUUGUAUUGGUUUAACUUUUUUCAGUUUAGACUUUGAAUGUAAUUGUGGUGGUAAAACCUAACCUUCGUGCGCUGUCUUGGUCGAGUAGGCAUUUAACUUAUAAAUUUUUGCCCCUUGGUUUUAUUCAUUGUUAGGAAUUUUUAUGGCUUGUGGGGCACAAGCCCUUGUAGACCGGGGUAAUGUCACGGUCUGAAAAUUUCAUUACUUUUUUUUCUUAAAUUUUAUUGUAAGAUUUGUUUCUCGUCAGGUUUACGUGUUGGUGUACGUGCACGUUUCCAGGCUCGGCCGGUUGAUUUCGACACGCGGGUAUGGGAAUAUAGGUUGCUGCGACAUUAGUUUACAGGCACCGCGGGCUUUUGCGAGGCUGCGUGGUUAGCUAAUUCUCGCAGGUAGCUGGCCAGGGCCUGCUGAGAGGUUGCAACACGCCGUUCCAGAAAAACCCGCUGCGCUACGCUAGUCUUUUGUUUGUCGUUCUGUGUAUGUUCUGCAACGCGAAGCCUUUGUGGACGCGUUUCGAGGACUCUGUCCUGAUUAGUGAUGCCAUCUUGCGUCCGAGUUUGGAAACGUAGACAGAAAAUUAACAAUCGAGCAGCGCAAGAGGGAGAGGGGGAAACUCGUUCGCGCCUGCGCGGAAGGAAUAGCUGACUUCAUUUGUUUUUCAUUUUUUUUUCCUUGUGGGAAGGGAGGGGACAGCGAGUUGCCUUGUGGAUAAGUUUUCCCAGUGUUCGUGUGUUUUUUUUUUGUUUUUCCGGCAUGGCCUAGUUUUGUAGUUAAAACCUCCUUCCAGGGAGGGGCCGAGGCUUUUUGCCUGGGGACCUCUCUGGGAGCCGGGUCCACGUCGGUUUGAAACAACUUUGCUUCGCCUCAAGUCAGUAGGGUAAGUGGUUGGCCAUGGCUCGUUCGCCACGAUCAUUUCUUGGACGAUCUUCGUCUUAAUCUUUUAAGUAAUAAUGUAGUAUUCCACCUCUAUUAUUUAUUAUUUGGUUUUGGGAAAAAUCGACGUCUGGUUAUAAGCAUGCAGGUAGUGGUAACUGGGAAGUAUACUAUCCUUCCGCGUAGCUGUGACGACGAGAGAACCGCCAUGUUGUAGAGAUAAUUGUUUGCCGGCUGACGUCACUUUAAUGUGUAUUUAAUGUAUUUAUUUAUUCGUUAAUCCCAUCCCAUUGUAAAAUGCUUUAUUAUUAAUUUGUUAAUCAAAUAUUUGGUUGAUUAUUAUUAUUUUUUUUUAUUAUCCUAGUGAAUAAAAUCUGUGCUUGAAUGAA